AGACUGCCCUAACACACACCCUCUCUGCUUCUUGUGCUGUCUUUGUUCUUUACAUCUACAAAACAUGUUAAAAGCAAGUUGAAUUGAUGCACAUAUAUACACCCAGACCUUAUGUGAUCUUGAAAUAUGUUUUAUAUAUAUCAUUUUAUGUGGAUCUCAUAUUAUGUUAGUAAGUGCUGCGCUAAUGUGUGUGUAAAGAAAGAUCUAGCAGUUGAUGACUAGAUCUAAUGCCUGGGGCCUAUGGUGUCAAUAACCAGAACUGUGGUGGGUUCCUG
rnacentral:lncRNA from 1 species